UCGGUUGUGAAUCGCCCUUGCCGGAAGCUCUCCUACAAGUUCUACGGGCCGUUCAUGGUGACCGAACGGAUCGGCAACCUGGCGUACCGUCUUCAUCUUCCAGCCGACAGCCGAAUCCAUCCGGUAUUUCAUGUUUCUCAGCUGAAGCCGUACACCCCUGAUUACACUCCCGUCUUCUCCGAGCUGCCGCAGGUGCCAGAUUUGGUCACCAGUGAGACGGAACCAGUGGCCAUUGUGGAGCGUCGUAUGAUGAAGAAAGGAGAUGCGCCAGUAAUUCAGCUACAAGUGCAGUGGUCCAAUCGGUCCCCAACAGCCACAACCUGGGAAGACUAUGCCACCUUAAGGGAGCGCUACCCCUCGGCCUGCAUCUGGGAAGGAGCUUCUUCUCAAGACGGGGGCAAUGUCACGCCUGCAGAUGACGAUCUGCAGCGGACUGCAAGUGCAGUUCAGUAA
rnacentral:rRNA from 1 species